rnacentral:lncRNA from 1 species
CCUGGCUUGUAAGGUUGACCAUCCUCCUUCUUCGAUCCAGACUUUAAAUCUUUCCUUCAUGUACACGUCGUCUCCUGUCAACGUCUAUGCCUCCUGUAUCUCCUCCUUUAAGUUUAACUCUUCUCUGUCUUCGUAUAAACAGCAUAUUGUCCUUUGCUUUGCUAUGCUAAUAACGUCCUUCCAAUUUCAAAACAUUUUUCUUUUGAAC